GGGGAUCUAGCUCAAAUGGUAGAGCGCUCGUUUAGCGUACGAGAGGCACAGGGAUCGAUGCCCUGGUUCUCCAC
rnacentral:tRNA from 1 species